GAUGAACGCUAGCGGGAGGCUUAACACAUGCAAGUCGAGGGGCAGCACGUCUUCGGAUGGUGGCGACCGGCGCACGGGUGCGUAACGCGUAUGCAACCUACCCUAUGCUGGGGGAUAGCCCGGAGAAAUUCGGAUUAAUACCCCAUAAAGAUAUGAGAAGGCAUCUUUUUAUAUUUAAAGUUUCGGCGGUACGGGAUGGGCAUGCGUAACAUUAGCUAGUUGGUAGGGUAACGGCCUACCAAGGCAACGAUGUUUAGGGGUCCUGAGAGGGUGAUCCCCCCACACUGGUACUGAGGACCACGGACCAGACUCCUACGGGUGGCAG
rnacentral:rRNA from 1 species